rnacentral:rRNA from 1 species
UACAGAGGGUGCGAGCGUUGUCCGGAAUCACUGGGCGUAAAGGGCGCGUAGGUGGUGGCUUAAGCGUGCGGUGAAAGCUCGGGGCUCAACCCCGAGUCGGCCGUGCGAACUGGGCUCACUGGAGCAUAGUAGAGGCAGGUGGAAUUCCGGGUGUAGCGGUGGAAUGCGUAGAGAUCCGGAAGAACACCGGUGGCGAAGGCGGCCUGCUGGGCUAUGGCUGACACUGAGGCGCGACAGCGUGGGGAG